UCACUCAGAUCCUCCUCUGAGAAGGAAUCGCUUUACAGUGCUCAGGAUUUGGAAGGAAAGCCAAAGACAAAAAGCUUCAAAACCAAGGAUUCAACAUCAGAUCUGCUAUCACGAUCCCCAGCCACCAACUGCCGGAGCCACUGUCUGAAGGAAAGGCCGGCACAGCAAUCCCUGCUGCUGUUGCUGAGUUUCCUUCUCUGUGUCCAAGAGUCCUGCUUUCCCAGGGAAGAAGUGAGUGCUGCAGGAAGACAGAGGGCAAGUCAUGCACCAAAGAGCCUCCCACACAGUACAAUGCUGUGUUCAAGAUGCUGAGAGCCAGAAUGAAAGAGGGAAGCCACUUCCAACAGGAUGAAGAAAAGAUGGAGCUGGUCUAGGUGCUCCAAGCACAGAAGAAAGUGUUGAGAAUGAAAAAAGGAACCAAGAAGCAGAAGAGAAGAACCAAGUCUGGCCUUUUGGGACAGCAAGGAUGCUGGGCUUGUACUGACUGUCUGUUGAGAUGAUACCAUACCUCUGCAGUUUGGGGCCACUGGGACUCACCUAAAGAAAUCUUCACUAGGCCACCAGUUAAAAAACUUUCCUGAUUAAUUUUGCCAAAUGACUGACCCUGCCUAGGCUACGAACCCUCCAUGCUGUUAAUGCUGUAACUCAUUUUUCCUGAGUUGAGGGUAACUUCAUUUCAUGCGGGUAUCAGUUUUCAAACCUCAAAGGGCUCUGAAGGUUUGGAGAAGCAUCCUGCGGUCCAGAUGCUUGUCUGAACUGCUUGAGCCUGCACAACUGGGCCAGCUGUCUUGCCAGGAGGGACACUCUUGUGAGACAGCAGGCGCUUCUUGGAUCUGCAUGGGCCAGAGUUACUGCAAGAACUGGCGUUCUUGUGCUGGCUUUGGCAUGACUGUUUCCAUCCAGACCCAAGGAGCACAAAAGUUGUGCAAAAGACAAGAGCUCGAGUGAGUUGAACAAGACAGUUUUGGUUCACAUCUCAGCUGAAGAGGUCCGGUUGGUUCCUCUCUCUUCCAGAGCCAACUGUCCCGGGUGUGCAUGUGUGCGUGUCAGCGCGGGUGGGUGUGUGUGUGUUGAGCAAUCAAAUCGACUUAACCAAAUUCUGUGGUGUUUUGUUGCAUUUGAACGAAGCCAAUGGGACCUAAUGUGCAUUCCAACAACGCUCAGCAAAAAUGUCCAGGACUAGAAAAUUAUGUAGAACCAUGUAAAGGCAGACUUUGUAGGCAUCAUCCCAAGGUCAAAAUGAUGUUUGAUUUUGAGGUGCUAAUUUCCACAGUCCCUUUCAACGGACCUGACUGCCUCAAUAUGCAUUUUAUUUUUCCAUAGACUUUUCUGCCUUUUUAAUGAAUUAGCCAAUCUGUGCUACUUGGUCAUUUGGUCCUGAGGUUUAUACAUUUUCAGCUGACUUUUUGGAGUGUGCAGAACUGAAUCUCCUGGACUGAUUUUAUUUCAAUUAUUGCUCCUGGUGGAUUGGAGCUUUACUUGUAGCACCCUGGUUUAUAUUACCAGCCUCUCCAGGAAGGACUGGUAGUUUAUUUUCCUGGGGCAGAGUCACGUGAAUGAAGAAGUGUGUACGUGUAGUGUCUGUGAAACUUCAACGGAUUUCAACCAUUGAUUUUUUUCCUUAGGCAAUUUUACAUUUGACUCUGACAAAACUACUUUAGAGUUUUUAUUUUUACUAGAGAUAUUAUUAAUUCAAACAACCUUGUACAAAAGGCAAACACAUUGAAUCACUGCAGGUUAUAGGGGUUGAAGCCAAAAGGUCUUUGUAAGCCAACAUCACUUGCCCUAGAUCUGACUGUAUCAGGCAGUUUAUUCGUCAUGUGUCAUGUUGGAGUUACAAGAUCACACCGAGCCACUAGAACCUGUCAAUAGAAUAGUGCUACACUCUAUUUGCUAUUGUAGCAAAGCCUUUUGUAGAUUUAUACAAUAAAACUUUGAAAUAUC